rnacentral:rRNA from 1 species
UGGGGAAUUUUCCGCAAUGGGCGAAAGCCUGACGGAGCAAGACCGCGUGGGGGAGGAAGGCCCUUGGGUUGUAAACCCCUUUUCUCAGGGAAGAAGAAAGUGACGGUACCUGAGGAAUCAGCCUCGGCUAACUCCGUGCCAGCAGCCGCGGUAAUACGGAGGAGGCAAGCGUUAUCCGGAAUCAUUGGGCGUAAAGCGUCCGCAGGUGGCUAGGCAAGUCUGCCGUUAAAAACCGGAGCUCAACUCCGGGCGGGCGGUGGAAACUGCCCAUGCUAGAGGCCGGUAGGGGUAGCGGGAAUUCCCAGUGUAGCGGUGAAAUGCGUAGAGAUUGGGAAGAACAUCGGUGGCGAAAGCGCGCUACUGGGCCGGACCUGACACUCAGGGACGAAAGCUAGGGGAGCGAAAGGG